rnacentral:rRNA from 1 species
AACGAACGCUGGCGGCAUGCCUAACACAUGCAAGUCGAACGAAGGCUUCGGCCUUAGUGGCGCACGGGUGCGUAACGCGUGGGAAUCUGCCCCUCGGUUCGGAAUAACAGUUAGAAAUGACUGCUAAUACCGGAUGAUGACUUCGGUCCAAAGAUUUAUCGCCGAGGGAUGAGCCCGCGUAAGAUUAGGUAGUUGGUGGGGUAAAAGCCUACCAAGCCGACGAUCUUUAGCUGGUCUGAGAGGAUGAUCAGCCACACUGGGACUGAGACACGGCCCAGACUCCUCCGGGAGGCAGCAGCGGGGAAUAUUGGACAAUGGGCGAAAGCCUGAUCCAGCAAUGCCGCGUGAGUGAUGAAGGCCUUAGGGUUGUAAAGCUCUUUUACCAGGGAUGCUAAUGACAGUACCUGGAGAAUAAGCUCCGGCUAACUCCGUGCCAGCCGCCGCCGUAA